UACAUUUGACAUACUUGGCGAAGCUAUAGAGAUAUAGCUGAGGUUAACCGAUGUACAGGUGGUGCAUGGUUGUCGUCAGCUCGUGUCGUGAGAUGUUCGGUUAAGUCCGGCAACGAGCGCAACCCCUAUCUUAUGUUACCAGCAUUCAGUUGGGGACUCAUGAGAGACUGCCUGGGUAACCAGGAGGAAGGUGGGGAUGACGUCAAAUCAUCAUGCCCCUUAUAUGUAGGGCUACACACGUGCUACAAUGGCCAGUACAGAGGGUUGCAAUACCGCGAGGUGGAGCUAAUCCCACAAAGCUGGUCGUAGUCCGGAUUGGAGUCUGCAACUCGACUCCAUGAAGUCGGAAUCGCUAGUAAUCGUGAAUCAGAAUGUCACGGUGAAUACGUUCCCGGGUCU
rnacentral:rRNA from 1 species